rnacentral:rRNA from 1 species
UACGUAGGGGCCUAGCGUUGUCCGGAUUUAUUGGGCGUAAAGAGCUCGUAGGCGGUUCGGCAAGUCGGAUGUGAAAUCUCCACGCUUAACGUGGAGGGGCCAUUCGAAACUGCCGUGACUCGAGUCCGGUAGGGGAGUGUGGAAUUCCCGGUGUAGCGGUGAAAUGCGUAGAUAUCGGAAGGAACAUCAGUGGCGAAAGCGACUUCCUGGACCAGUACCGACGUUCAGGCACGAAAGCGUGGGGAGCAAACAGG